rnacentral:rRNA from 1 species
CGAACGCUGGCGGCGUGCUUAACACAUGCAAGUCGAACGGAAAGGCCCUGCUUGCAGGGUGCUCGAGUGGCGCACGGGUGAGUAACACGUGGGUGAUCUGCCCCUUAUUUUGGGAUAAGCCUGGGAAACUGGGUCUAAUACUGGAUAGGACCAUGCUGUAGGUGGUGUGGUGGAAAGAUUAGUUUCGGUAAGGGAUGAGCUCGCGGCCUAUCAGCUUGUUGGUGGGGUAAUGGCCUACCAAGGCGUCGACGGGUAGCCGGCCUGAGAGGGUGGACGGCCACAUUGGGACUGAGAUACGGCCCAGACUCCUACGGGAGGCAGCAGUGGGGAAUAUUGCACAAUGGGCGCAAGCCUGAUGCAGCGACGCCGCGUGGGGGAUGACGGCCUUCGGGUUGUAAACUCCUUUCAGCCAUGACGAAGCCCUUGUGGUGACGGUAGUGGUAGAAGAAGCACCGGCUAACUACGUG